UGGCGUAGCGCGCAAAGCCUCGGCUUGCUAAGCCGAAGGUUCCGGGUUCGAUUCCCGG
rnacentral:tRNA from 1 species